UGGGGAAUUUUGGACAAUGGGGGAAACCCUGAUCCAGCCAUCCCGCGUGUGCGAUGAAGGCCUUCGGGUUGUAAAGCACUUUUGGCAGGAAAGAAACGUCGCGGGUUAAUACCCCGCGAAACUGACGGUACCUGCAGAAUAAGCACCGGCUAACUACGUGCCAGCAGCCGCGGUAAUACGUAGGGUGCAAGCGUUAAUCGGAAUUACUGGGCGUAAAGCGUGCGCAGGCGGUUCGGAAAGAAAGAUGUGAAAUCCCAGAGCUUAACUUUGGAACUGCAUUUUUAACUACCGGGCUAGAGUGUGUCAGAGGGAGGUGGAAUUCCGCGUGUAGCAGUGAAAUGCGUAGAUAUGCGGAGGAACACCGAUGGCGAAGGCAGCCUCCUGGGAUAACACUGACGCUCAUGCACGAAAGCGUGGGGAGCAAACAGGAUUAGAUACCCUGGUAGUCCACGCCCUAAACGAUGACAACUAGCUGUUGGGGCCUUCGGGCCUUGGUAGCGCAGCUAACGCGUGAAGUUGACCGCCUGGGGAGUACGGUCGCAAGAUUAAAACUCAAAUGAAUUGAC
rnacentral:rRNA from 1 species